GAUGAACGCUGGCGGCGUGCCUAAUACAUGCAAGUCGAGCGAACAGACGAGGAGCUUGCUCCUCUGACGUUAGCGGCUGACGGGUGAGUAACACGUGGAUAACCUACCUAUAAUACUGGGAUAACUUCGGGAAACCGGAUCUACUACCGGAUAAUAUAUUGAACUGCAUGGUUUAAUAGUUAAAGACGCUUUUGCUGUCACUUUUAGAUGGAUCCGCGCCGCAUUAGCUAGUUGGUAAGGUAACGGCUUACCAAGGCAACGAUGCGUAGCCGACCUGAGAGGGUGAUCGGCCACACUGGAACUGAGACACGGUCCAGACUCCUACGGGAGGCAGCAGUAGGGAAUAUUCCGCAAUGGGCGAAAGCCUGACGGAGCAAAGCCGCGUGAGUGAAGAAGGUCUUCGGAUCGUAAAACUCUGUUAUUAGGGAAGAACAAAUGUGUAAGUAAAUAUGCACGUCUUGACGGUACCUAAUCAGAAAGCCACGGCUAACUACGUG
rnacentral:rRNA from 1 species